rnacentral:rRNA from 1 species
GACGAACGCUGGCGGCGUGCUUAACACAUGCAAGUCGAGCGGUAAGGCCCUUUCGGGGGUACGACGAGCGGCGAACGGGUGAGUAACACGUGGGUGACCUGCCCUCAGCUCUGGGAUAAGCCUGGGAAACCGGGUCUAAUACUGGAUAUGACUCCAUGACGCAUGUUGUGGGGUGGAAAGCCUUGUGCGGCUGAGGAUGGGCCCGCGGCCUAUCAGCUUGUUGGUGGGGUGAUGGCCUACCAAGGCGACGACGGGUAGCCGGCCUGAAAGGGCGACCGGCCACACUGGGACUGAGACACGGCCCAGACUCCUACGGGAGGCAGCAGUGGGGAAUCUUGCGCAAUGGGCGAAAGCCUGACGCAGCGACGCCGCGUGAGGGAUGACGGCCUGGUU